rnacentral:rRNA from 1 species
GAUGAACGCUGGCGGCGUGCCUAAUACAUGCAAGUCGAGCGAACGGACGAGAAGCUUGCUUCUCUGAUGUUAGCGGCGGACGGGUGAGUAACACGUGGAUAACCUACCUAUAAGACUGGGAUAACUUCGGGAAACCGGAGCUAAUACCGGAUAAUAUUUUGAACCGCAUGGUUCAAAAGUAAAAGACGGUCUUGCUGUCACUUAUAGAUGGAUCCGCGCUGCAUUAGCUAGUUGGUAAGGUAACGGCUUACCAAGGCAACGAUGCAUAGCCGACCUGAGAGGGUGAUCGGCCACACUGGAACUGAGACACGGUCCAGACUCCUACGGGAGGCAGCAGUAGGGAAUCUUCCGCAAUGGGCGAAAGCCUGACGGAGCAACGCCGCGUGAGUGAUGAAGGUUUUCGGAUCGUAAAACUCUGUUAUUAGGGAAGAACAUAUGUGUAAGUAACUGUGCACAUCUUGACGGUACCUAAUCAGAAAGCCACGGCUAACUACGU